AGAAAAUUGACCUCUUGGCUCUUGGGAUUCAUGGUGAACUUGAUGUUGGGGUUACACACAUUCAGGUCUUGGUGGAAUGAUUCCAAGAUAUCAACAGAGCCAUUCUGUGCGCCAAAAAUAUUUUUAAUGAAAUGCCACCAGAUUUUUACAUUGGAUUUAAUUGAUGGAUGUGGGUAGAUGAAUAGCCCCUCACAUGUAUUCAUGUUUUGGCCAUAUUCGAUCCCAUCGCACUUUCUCUGAUUUGU